rnacentral:rRNA from 1 species
GAUGAACGCUGACAGAAUGCUUAACACAUGCAAGUCUACUUGAAUUUGGGUUUUUAACUUAGAUUUGGGUGGCGGACGGGUGAGUAACGCGUAAAGAACUUGCCUCACAGCUAGGGACAACAUUUAGAAAUGAAUGCUAAUACCUAAUAUUAUGAUAAUAGGGCAUCCUAUAAUUAUGAAAGCUAUAUGCGCUGUGAGAGAGCUUUGCGUCCCAUUAGCUAGUUGGAGAGGUAACGGCUCACCAAGGCGAUGAUGGGUAGCCGGCCUGAGAGGGUGAUCGGCCACAAGGGGACUGAGACACGGCCCUUACUCCUACGGGAGGCAGCAGUGGGGAAUAUUGGACAAUGGACCGAGAGUCUGAUCCAGCAAUUCUGUGUGCACGAUGAAGUUUUUCGGAAUGUAAAGUGCUUUCAGUUGGGAAGAAAGAAAUGACGGUACCAACAGAAGAAGUGACGGCUAAAUACGUGCCAGCAGCCGCGGUAAUACGUAUGUCACGAGCGUUAUCCGGAUUUAUUGGGCGUAAAGCGCGUCUAGGUGGUUAUAUAAGUCUGAUGUGAAAAUGCAGGGCUCAACUCUGUAUUGCGUUGGAAACUGUAUAACUAGAGUACUAGAGAGGUAAGCGGAACUAUAAGUGUAGAGGUGAAAUUCGUAGAUAUUUGUAGGAAUGCCGAUGGGGAAGCCAGCUUACUGGACAGAUACUGACGCUGAAGCGCGAAAGCGUGGGUAGCAAACAGG